AGCGAACGCUGGCGGCAGGCCUAACACAUGCAAGUCGAACGGAUCCUUCGGGAUUAGUGGCGGACGGGUGAGUAACACGUGGGAACGUGCCCUUUGGUUCGGAACAACUCAGGGAAACUUGAGCUAAUACCGGAUGUGCCCUUCGGGGGAAAGAUUUAUCGCCAUUGGAGCGGCCCGCGUCUGAUUAGCUAGUUGGUGAGGUAAAGGCUCACCAAGGCGACGAUCAGUAGCUGGUCUGAGAGGAUGAUCAGCCACAUUGGGACUGAGACACGGCCCAGACUCCUACGGGAGGCAGCAGUGGGGAAUAUUGGACAAUGGGCGAAAGCCUGAUCCAGCAAUGCCGCGUGAGUGAUGAAGGCCUUAGGGUUGUAAAGCUCUUUUACCCGGGAUGAUAAUGACAGUACCGGGAGAAUAAGCCCCGGCUAACUCCGUGCCAGCAGCCGCGGUAAU
rnacentral:rRNA from 1 species